rnacentral:lncRNA from 1 species
AUUUUUGAAGGUAUACUAAAAGUUUUUUUUAGAUGUCAUACAAUUGUCACAUUAGGGUAGUGACAGAUAGGAGAACCCACACGGGUUUAGGGAUAAUGCCAUAUAUAAGGACACCUUUUUUUUAGAAGGAUCCUUAUUGAUAUGGAUAAGGAUCGGCAUGAGAAACCCAAACGAGUUUGAGACAUGUAAGAUAAUAUGCAAGCAUGACCUAGUUAAGGGUAGAUUCCU